GAAUUCACUAGUGAUUCAGGCCUAACACAUGCAAGUCGAGCGGUAGAGAGAAGCUUGCUUCUCUUGAGAGCGGCGGACGGGUGAGUAAUGCCUAGGAAUCUGCCUGGUAGUGGGGGAUAACGUUCGGAAACGGACGCUAAUACCGCAUAUGUCCUACGGGAGAAAGCAGGGGACCUUCGGGCCUUGCGCUAUCAGAUGAGCCUAGGUCGGAUUAGCUAGUUGGUGAGGUAAUGGCUCACCAAGGCAACGAUCCGUAACUGGUCUGAGAGGAUGAUCAGUCACACUGGAACUGAGACACGGUCCAGACUCCUACGGGAGGCAGCAGUGGGGAAUAUUG
rnacentral:rRNA from 1 species